UCUGCUUGUGAUUCUGUUGUCCUCUGGUGUUUUCCUGUUCUCUGCCUGCCUCCCUGUGUCUCCUCCCCUGCGUGUGCUCUCCCUCUCUCUCUCCCUCCGCUCCUGAGCCAGCCCAGCCAACGACCCGCACCUCGUCAGCCACCUCCUCUGCCUGUCACACCUGCCAGCAAUCAACCUCAUCCCUGCCUGCAUAUCAACCCCGGAUCUCCACUCCAUCGCUGCUUGAUCGUUGUUGUUCCUAACCUGGUCCACUCCCCUCCAUCCUCCGUUCAUCAGUCAGCUGGGCUCGCCACCCUGCCCUCUCCCUUAAGACCUCUCCCAUAGCGUCCUCCCGGCUCCUCCCCGUGCCUCCUUGCUUCCUCGGUCCCCAGUGCCCCCCGGCUCCCUUGUCGCAGUCUCCAUGGUUCCCCUUGCCCGUGUUUCCCCGGCGUCCGCCUCUCCCUCAAUCCCUUUUUCCCCCUUCAAUAAAGCCUGUUCUGCCUGA